ACGGGUGAGUAACACGUAGGUAACCUGCCUAUGAGACUGGGAUAACUAUCGGAAACGAUAGCUAGGACCGGAUAACUGGUUUUCUCGCAUGAGAGAACCAUGAAACACGGAGCAAUCUGUGGCUUAUAGAUGGGCCUGCGGCGCAUUAGCUAGUUGGUAGGGUAACGGCCUACCAAGGCGACGAUGCGUAGCCGACCUGAGAGGGUGAACGGCCACACUGGGACUGAGACACGGCCCAGACUCCUACGGGAGGCAGCAGUAGGGAAUCUUCCGCAAUGGACGCAAGUCUGACGGAGCAACGCCGCGUGAGUGAUGAAGGUUUUCGGAUCGUAAAGCUCUGUUGCCCUAGACGAACAGCAAGGAGAGUAACUGCUCUUUGUGUGACGGUAUAGGAGAAGAAAGCCCCGGCUAACUACGUGCCAGCAGCCGCGGUAAUACGUAGGGGGCAAGCGUUGUCCGGAAUUAUUGGGCGUAAAGCGCGCGCAGGCGGUUAAUUAAGUUGGGUGUUUAAGCCCGGGGCUCAACCCCGGUUCGCAUCCAAAACUGGUUGACUUGAGUGUAGGAGAGGAAAGUGGAAUUCCACGUGUAGC
rnacentral:rRNA from 1 species